rnacentral:tRNA from 1 species
CAGGGAGACAAAAACUGGUCUUGUUUUCUUAGAUAUUAUUCUUUGAUCAAGACCCUGUCACCCUAGGUCGAUCGGUACCUCAGAUUUAUAUUUGAAAAACUAGUUGAUUUCAACUAGUUUAUUUCUUAUGAAUUUCAGUUCCUAAACUUGUCUAGGUCACACCCAGCAAGGGUUACUCCUGGGCCAUUAGCUCAGGUGGUUAGAGCGCACCCCUGAUAAGGGUGAGGUCCCUGGUUCAAGUCCAGGAUGGCCCAUUCGGCGUUGGGGGUAUAGUUCAGUUGGUAGAGCGCCUGCUUUGCAAGCAGGAUGUCAGCGGUUCGAGUCCGCUUACCUCCACUGAUCAAUCACCUGAAUACCAAAUGGAAGGAGAAUUUUCUUGAUUUUGUGUGAUCUUGACGUUGUUUUCUGAAAUGACCCUAGCUUCUUAUCAUUCCCCAAUUUAAAAUCACUUUUAGAUUAGGUUGACAGGACGCUGGGCUCACUACAUUUUUUAAAUGUAGGGAUCUUCAGUAGAACCUUGACAACUGCAUAGAUAAAGUCUGGAAAGAAUAAAGCAUCUCAUGGAUGCAUUUUCUAGAUAUUGUAUUGAUGGAGAUUAUUUUCUUCUCAAUUUUCUAGAAUAAUGUUUAAUUCUUGAGCAAGAGCUGAGACUCUAUAGUUAGUUUUGAGGUAUGAAAAUACUAUCAAAUUCUAUAGAGAAUAAU